rnacentral:rRNA from 1 species
GACAGAGGUCCCGAGCGUUAGGCGGAAUCACUGGGCUUAAAGCGUGUGUAGGCGGAUUUGUAAGUACCUUGUGAAAUCCCACGGCUCAACCGUGGAACUGCUUGGUAUACUGCUUAUCUUGGGCCAUCUAGGGGCUACCGGAACAAGUGGUGGAGCGGUGAAAUGCGUAGAUAUCUGGAGGAACACCGGUGGCGAAGGCGGCAUCCUGGACCGGUAUUGACGCUGAGGCGCGAAAGCCAGGGGAGCAAACGGG